rnacentral:rRNA from 1 species
GGCCACUGCUAUGGGGGUCCGACUAAGCCAUGCGAGUUAUGGGGCACCGGCGGACGGCUCAGUAACACGUCGGUAACCUACCCUCGGGAGGGGGAUAACCCCGGGAAAUGGGGCUAAUCCCCCAUAGGUGUGGGGUACUGGAAGGUCCCCACACCGAAAGGGCCGCCCGAGGAUGGGCCGGCGGCCGAUUAGGUAGUUGGUGGGGUAACGGCCCACCAAGCCGAAGAUCGGUACGGGCCAUGAGAGUGGGAGCCCGGAGAUGGACACUGAGACACGGGUCCAGGCCCUACGGGGCGCAGCAGGCGCGAAACCUCCGCAAUGCGGGAAACCGCGACGGGGGGACCCCCAGUGCCGUGCACGGCUUUUCCGGAGUGUAAAAAGCUCCGGGAAUAAGGGCUGGGCAAGGCCGGUGGCAGCCGCCCCGGUAAUACCGGCGGCCCGAGUGGUGGCCGCUAUUAUUGGGCCUAAAGCGUCCGUAGCCGGGCCCGUAAGUCCCUGGCGAAAUCCCACGGCUCAACCGUGGGGCUUGCUGGGGAUACUGCGGGCCUUGGGACCGGGAGAGGCGGGGGGUACCCCUGGGGUAGGGGUGAAAUCCUAUAAUCCCAGGGGGACCGCCAGUGGCGAAGGCGCCCCGCUGGAACGGGUCCGACGGUGAGGGACGAAGGCCAGGGGAGCGAACCGGAUUAGAUACCCGGGUAGUCCUGGCUGUAAAGGAUGCGGGCUAGGUGUCGGGCGAGCUCCGAGCUCGCCCGGUGCCGUAGGGAAGCCGUUAAGCCCGCCGCCUGGGGAGUACGGCCGCAAGGCUGAAACUUAAAGGAAUUGGCGGGGGAGCACUACAAGGGGUGGAGCGUGCGGUUUAAUUGGAUUCAACGCCGGGAACCUCACCGGGGGCGACGGCAGGAUGAAGGCCAGGCUGAAGGUCUUGCCGGACACGCCGAGAGGAGGUGCAUGGCCGCCGUCAGCUCGUACCGUGAGGCGUCCACUUAAGUGUGGUAACGAGCGAGACCCGCGCCCCCAGUUGCCAGUCCCUCCCGAUGGGAGGGAGGCACUCUGGGGGGACCGCCGGCGAUAAGCCGGAGGAAGGAGCGGGCGACGGUAGGUCAGUAUGCCCCGAAACCCCCGGGCUACACGCGCGCUACAAUGGGCGGGACAAUGGGAUCCGACCCCGAAAGGGGAAGGGAAUCCCCUAAACCCGCCCUCAGUUCGGAUCGCGGGCUGCAACUCGCCCGCGUGAAGCUGGAAUCCCUAGUACCCGCGUGUCAUCAUCGCGCGGCGAAUACGUCCCUGCUCCUUGCACACACCGCCCGUCACUCCACCCGAGCGGGGUCCGGAUGAGGCCCCGUCGCCGGCUCUGACCGGAUGGCGGGGUCGAGCCUGGGCUCCGUGAGGGGGGAGG